GACUACCAACGACAUCUCGUAUCAGUUUGUGGGAUAUCGCGGUGUUUGUGCCGACAUUUCGUGUGUCGGGUGCAUCCUGCAAAAAGAAGAGCACAUAAGAAAGAGAGAUCCUGUUCACCAAAAAAAACCUCUGUGUUUGUUCACACAUUUCUCGGUUUCAGUGUCCUACAGAAAUCAUCAGUCUGGUUUACAGUGAAUCUAUUCACAACUUAGUUGCUUUGGUUUUAGCGCUGUUGUUUAGCAGUCAUUAUGGCAGUAGUCAUCAGGCUGCAGGGUCUGCCCAUAGUGGCUGGAACCAUGGACAUCAGACACUUCUUCUCUGGUCUCACUAUCCCUGAUGGGGGAGUACACAUCGUUGGGGGUGAGCAUGGUGAGGCUUUUAUCGUCUUUGCCACUGAUGAGGAUGCUCGGCUGGGUAUGAUGCGUACAGGAGGGUCAAUUAAGGGAUCCAAAGUUUCCCUUCUACUUAGCAGUAAGACAGAAAUGCAGAAUAUGAUUGAACUUAGUCGGCGUAGGUUUGAGGCUGGUGCAGGUGCUGUCGAAGCAGCGACACCUGCAACAGGAAUUGCUAAUCGUCAAGCAGGUGCUGCUCCCAUGCCCGCAGUGCAGCCAGGGGCAGGCGGCAGAGGUGGAAAUCAAGGAUUCAGUAACAUAUCAGCCACAGUAACAGCGGCAAGUUCAACCCAGGAGCUACCAAGCAACAAAGCUCCACCCAGCUUGGCUAGUGUAGCGCCCUGCUUCCCUAACAGCUAUAGCUCCACUCCUACAAUUACAACAGCUAUGGCAUCACUCAGCGCUGUACCCCCAACCAUUCCUCCACUUUCUAAUUUGCCUUCCAUGCCACCAAUGCCCACAUUGCCCACAAUUCCAGUCCCCCCUCCAGUUUCCUCUCUGCCCCCUGUCCCCACUGUUUCGCCUCUGUCCCAAGGACCUCCAGUACCUCCUAUGUCUCACCUUCCCCACAUGUCUUCGCUGCCUCCAUUCAAUCCUUCUCUUCCUCCACCUGCGGGUUUGGCUUCUGGGCUUCCCCUUGGAACUCCCAAUCCAAUGCUUUUUAAUCCUCUUUCUCCCUUAGCUUAUGGCCUUCAGGCACAUAUGAAGGCUGCUGCAGCAGCCAGUGGAGCAGUUGCAGCCAGCCCGGAUGAGUUAUUUGUCCUCUUGCAGAAUCUCCCAUUCUCCUGUUCAGAGGUUGAUGUCAGAGAAUUUUUCCGCGGUUUGGGUGUAAAUGGAGUUCGUCUGAUAAGGGAUGCGCAGGGUCGGCCGUCUGGUAGGGCUGUGGUGAAGUUUUUCUCACCCCAGGAGAGCUUUGAAGCUGUGAAGAGGGGGGGUGGUAUGAUGGGCCAACGGUUUAUUGAGAUCUCACCAUCCUCUGAGCGACAGUGGGCCAGCCUUAGUGACAGUAUGACCAACCAUGCACCUCACAAUAGUAAAUCAGACAACAACAGUGAAUCACAGGAUCCGCAGCAUCGCCGCAGCAAUAUCGGGUCUGGAAACCGGGAUCAGCGAGGAAGAUCACGCUCUCCCCACCGACAGGAUUUCUGUAUUUACUUGAAGGGCCUUCCCUAUGAGGUUGAAAAGAAACAGAUUAAGGAGUUCUUUAAGAAUUUGGCCAUUGUGGAGGACAGCAUCUACAUUGCCUAUGGACCCAAUGGACGAGCCACAGGAGAGGGCUUUCUUGAAUUUAAAACAGAACAAGACUACAAGACUGCUCUGGAUGCUCACAUGCAGUACAUGGGCUCUCGCUUUAUUCAGGUCCACCAAAUCAGCCGGAAGGGAAUGCUUGAAAAAAUUGACACGAUUCGCAAACGUGAUGCAAGCCAUGGCGAUGGAAAGAACCAGGAUAGCUUAAAAGCACCCCGGAACUGUGCCCACAUUACGAACAUCCCAUACAAUAUUUCGAAGAAGGAUGUCCGUGCCUUUCUAGAGGGUGUUGGGCUUUAUGAAGACAGUCUGAAGGUUUUGACAGAUAGCCAUGGUAAUGGAUUAGGACAAGCUAUCUUUCAGCUCCGGACCGAAGAAGACGCCCGCAAAGCUGAAAGAUUGCACCGCCAAAAGCUUAACGGACGUGAUGCCUUUGUUCAUCUUGUAACAUUUGAUCAGAUGAAGGAAAUUGAGAGGAAUCCUCCUCCUCAAAACAAAAGGGGGCAACGCAACCAAAACCAGCAGAACCAAAAUCAGAGUCAACAAAAGCAAACACAGCCCAGUCCCCAUCAGCCUCAAAUUAACCCAUUUGCUGGGAUCAGUGGGGAGGAAUUUAACUUUCUUAGAAACACUAUGGGGAACCUAAACACUCCAUUUGUGACUCCAUUUUCUGCUCCAGGGAAUGGAUUGGCAGGCCCCCCACCUCUGCCUCCUCUGGCAGCAGGACUUGGGGAUGUAAAUUUGGGUGUGGCUCCUCCACUUGUUACAGGUCUUCCUGGAGGUCCUAUUCUUGAGCCACCUGGCUUUCGUCCUGGAGCAGGUGCUGGUGCUCCAUUUGGUCCAGAUGGACUGAGAGGACUGGUGCCCUUUGAAAAUGCCACCAGAAAAGGGGGUGGAGGUGGACAAAACAGGGGGGGAGGAGCUAACAACAAUCAAGGCCGUCCAGCUGGUGGAGUUCCCGGUGGACAGCAGGUUUUCACUCCAGGAGCUGAGAGUCUCCAUACCCAGCCAACCCCAGGAGGUUCCUCCAAUGCCAAUAAUCAACGUGGAGCUGCUGGUCCAACUAUUGUUAAACUUCAAAAUAUGCCUUUCACAGUAACCAUAGACGAAAUUAUGGACUUCUUUUAUGGCUACCAGGUACUGCCAGGCUCUGUCUGCCUUCAAUUCAGUGAAAAAGGCUUGCCAACUGGUGAGGCUAUGGUAGCCUUCCAAAACCAUGAGGAGGCGGCUGCUGCUGUCAUGGACCUGAAUGAUCGGCCUAUCGGAGCUCGUAAGGUCAAGAUAAGUCUCGGUUAAAAUCUUGGUCAAUAGAACACUAACUGUACAUAGACAAUGUCAACGCCAACCAGUGGGACACCAACAUAAAGCCUACCUAAUUAAUGGACUAAUACCCUGAAUGCAUCUACUAAAGGACCCCCUCUCCUAUCUUUGUAGAUAAUAACAGGUAAGCCCCACCCUGCUGUCUGUCCAAAAGAAGCCAGGCUUGUACUUCCCUACAGGAUCAAGAUUUACUUUAAAGCACAAUCUCGUAAUGAUGAUGAUGGAGGUAGUGUUAAUAGUGGUGAUGAGACCGAGUGUUUGUAUGCUUGCUUUUUUUUUUCUUUUUGAACCGAGUGGAAAAUUAUGUUCAGAGGUGACGCCCAAAACAUAAUUGGCUGCUUUUUGUUAUCAAGUAACAUGAACAUUGUCUGAGACAUUGUUGCAUUAAUUGUUUAUAUAUGCUGCUGUGGUUUCACAACACCAUGCUCUGUUAAUAAUGUAAAUCGCAAUCCCAUGAUUGAAAUCCACUAGUCAAGUAUUCUGUGGGUACGUUGAAAAAAACGUUUGUUUUGUUGCUUUGGAAAACUCCCUAAAUGCUCUGUUGCUAUGUUUAAAAUCUUUCUAUACUCCGUUGCUAUGGUUAAACCUUUUCAUGCCCUUUUGCUACUGUAAAUCAUGCUGUAGAUGAAAGUGAACUGUAGGUGCUCUCUUGCUAUGGUCCUCGCUUUGUGUUGCUAUGAUAAAAAAUUAUGAUAUCAAGCUAUGUUGCUGUGAUCAAAUGAUCGUGUUCCGUUUCUGUGGUGAAAUGUUGAUAUGUCCAAUUGCUAUGGUAACAAUUAUAUUGUCACCAAACCUUUGUAAAAGGCUGAAACUGUUGCUCUGCUUUCAUGACAAUGCUUUUCUGUUUUGCAGUGCUCUGUGAAUGUUGGAUUGACAGAUGGUUUAUUUGAUUUAUAUUUUAAAUAAUGACUCUGGUUGCUGAAUCCUUUCCCUUUGUCACAUUUGUUCAACAUUAUUGUGUUUCACCUAUGUCACCACCCUUUUUACAGUACAUGCUUAGCAGGCAUUUGGUCUGGACACCAUUGAGAUGAAAUGUAGGAAUUUUAGUUUGGUAUGUUUUUUGUUGUAUGAUUCAUGCUGUUCAGGAGGUUUCCAUCUUCAGUUUAUUUUUGUUUCUUGUCUUAGUAUAAAGAAAUGUGUAUAAACAUAACAUUAUGUGGAGUCUCCCUUGCAUUUAAUAAUAAAAAAGCACAUUCCUGAUGCACUAAUGCUCGCCUGCAGUCAGCUUUCUGAGUUUCUUAUCUUUACUCUCUCAUAUAUAAAUACACCUAAUAUUUUUGUGAUUAUAGUACCAAAUAUUUGCUCAAACUUGAUCAUAUCUUUAAAUUAAAUGUAAAUACAAAUGAACCUUUUUAUGUUGUUCAUGUUGUUGGUUGAGCUCUACCUUGAGUUGUAAUUGGAUUCCACUUGGUCAUACGUGUUCAGAUAUUUUUAAAAUGAAAACCUUAUACAUUAGGAGCUAAUGUUACUUUCACUGUGAAUAUUUAUAUCAACUUCAGCAUGAUUAUGAAAUGCGGUGAUCAUCAGUGGUACACUACGAAAACAUAAGAAGCAGUGUUCAAAUGAAUGCCUUGUAAUGGGACCGUAGUUGUUAACAUACUCAAGUAUGUAACUACUUUUGCCUAGAGUUUACAUAUUUAAAUUCAAUUUAGCCUGCAGGGGCGCUGUGAUUGCCGUUGUAAUGCCCUUUGUUGAACAUGCUGGUAUUGGUUUUUUCCUUUAAAUUGUUUCAAAUAUUUUUCACUAGAAUACUUUUGGAAUCUAAUUGUCAACUGGAUAUCAAUCUGACCACUGGUUGAUGUCUGAUGUGCUGUCUCUUCAACAUUGCUUUGCCAUAACAUUACGGUCAGUGUAGCCAUCGUUACUAUAGUAAAGGGCAGUAGUGAUAGAGGUACUCUUUGAAUUUCAGUAGUAAAGUAAAACUGUUUCUCGUCAUAGUGUGUCUUCAUAAAAACACUUUAGGACUAAAAUAUCUGGCGUUAUUCUAUCUUAUUUGUGACAAUUGUGUGUCAAACAUACAUUGAUAUUGGUACCUUGAACAGGAUAAUGCUGACGAGAAGAGUUUUUGAAGAGGAAAUAUUUGCUGCUGUCAUAAAACGAGCACUCCACAGGAUGUAGUGUUGAACUGUGUGUGUGUGUGUGUGUGUGUGUGUGUGUGUGACUAAGAGACAAUAAUAAAAUGCUUUGAAAUACCUUUUACGUUAUGCAUCAACAGUUGUUACAUAAUUGUGUCUGUCUUUUGGACUUUGGCUGAAGAAAUACACAAAUGUGUUUGUUUGGUGAGGUAACGUUAUUGCUGAAUGACACCUGGCUGUGAGUCAUUUACCUGCUGAGACCCCCCUGCUACUGAUCAGUAGACAUAACGAAAGCAGGACUUACAGGUGAGUGACGGACAUGCAAAAAAGCUAUGCUCAGAAUAUGGCUUGAUGACAUUGUAGAAAAAUACUUACACCUAUUCAGUAUUUGUAUAUGACUUUGUAUACGGAAACUUGAGGUGAUGGUUUGUUUAGGACCUUUAUGCAGACAUUAGCUUAUAGUUAUGUCUGUUCGUGUUCAUAUAUGUGGUCUGAUGUUUGGCUAUAUAUAAGAAUUUAAAAGUAUUGCAUUGAUGCAACAAUGCGUUACUCUGUUGAUUGUAGAGGUUAGCCGUUGGCUUUGAGAUGAAGCAAAACCCUAAAUAAAUAUAAUAAAUGAUAGAGAUAUUAGCUAUUUGCUUAGACUGUGAAAGUAGCCCUACUGUAUGUGUUAGGGAUUAAUUGUAGUUCGGUGACAUCAAGCUGCAUGGAUCCACUUAUCUGUAGAUAGGGCCAUAUGUUGAGGUCAAGCUACAAUUACUUUGCUUAACAUGUAUUGCCUUUGCCUUGUUAGAUAAGCCACUGUGCUGUUGUAUUUGAAUCCAGUUGACACUUAACUACAUGGUCAUUUUUUUGCAUAUGUGAAACAUUAGAACAUGAUAGCAUUUUGUGCAGAAAGUCCAGUGCAAAAAGCAUGGUAACAGUUAGUGGUAGAUGUAUGUUUAAGUAUAUAAUACAAAAUAAGACUAAUAGGCUUGUGGUUGUUCCCAAAAAUAGCUAAAAUGAAGAGAACAUGUAAGAAAACUUUGUUUUCCAGGAUACUGCUGUUUUAUCCAAUUACCUGCUGGUCUACAUUGGUAGCAUGACAUAAAAAGACAGCUUGGUGUGGCUGGAAAAAUAGCAGAGAGAAUCUUUUAUACAUCUUUUAUAUGGAAUUUACAUGGAGCAUACAAAUGAGCAUGAUGUUACUGUUAACUGAUUUUACAUAGAUAUUUACAUGUUUCAAUGGUCCAAAGAUUGUGUUUGACUUUGACAUGAUGGCUUUAACAGGUGUAUUCAUUUUGUAAUAUUAGAAAGUGUAACAAAAUUUAAUAAAGCCUAAAAAUUGAGCUACACUAAUAGUCUAGUUAGCAAAUAAUAGCCACAAGAAUUUAAAUUGAAUGACAAACAUCAUUUGUAUAAAUUCCAGAACAGAGACGGAGAUAUGACGGUAUUAUUGGCUUCAAUAAUCAGGUUCUUGGAAUUUAGUCUCUCGUGAAUGAUCUUAGAUGGUAUAUAUGUAUGUGUGUGUGUGUUUAUGGCCAGUUCGGCAAUUGAUUCAAAAUGUUAAAGAAAUAAUCAGAGUUUGGUGAUGCUACCAAAGAAGAGAGACAGGAACUCUUUCUUUCUUUGUGAAACCAAGUUCACGUUGUCUCUACAUUGUAGCGAUAUCGGAGAGAAAAACAUUUCUAGUUUUCUUGUGUUUUAUUUCCCAAACUGUGAGGUGCUCUAUCUCUAUCUCUGAGUUUUCUGUACCUUUGCAAAAUAUGAGUUACAACAAUCCGUUGUAUGCUUUACUAUAUUGUUUGGAAAGGCUGUUCGCUUGGAAUUGUAUGUUUUCUGCUGCAGGUGGGGCAUUCAUUUGUGUUUUCUGUUUUUGUUCUUCAUCCACAUUCUGGAUUUUGUGUCAUUACAUUUUGUUAUUUUAAAAGAGGCCACUGUACCAUUUUGAUUUAUUUAAUGGAACAUGUAAGGGAUGAUAUAAACUUUGAUUGUAACAAAUAGUUAUGUAACUGAACACAGUAACUUUAUAAUGCUGAAACUAUAUUAUGUUCUGGACUUUCUGAAGUACUCAGUAUUGCUGAGUACUCAGUAUUGCUGAUCUGGCUCAAGUCUUUUGCCUACAUAUUUUCUCAUGUAUCCUUUAAUGUUGCUCUAUGUCUGGGUGAACGUACUGUUGGUGUUUUAUUUUGAAAAUGCAUAGUGAACAUCCUGUCUUGCGCCUACAAGUUUUGAGGGGCAGGAAACGCCCGCCAAUUGUGCUAAACCCAGAGGGCGUGAUUGACAGUCACGUUGUCUAAUCAGAGCGCAGCUCUUUAGGUUCUGCCCAAUAAGGGCACAGCUACUAUGUCUGUCGCUCCCUGGACUAUCGCUGGCUGUACGACGGAGACGCUGUGAGUCAUUGUCCACCGCCCCUCGGUAUCUUUUCCUGUGGUUUGCAAGUACA